UGCCAGCCUCCGCGGUACUACUGAUUUUGCAAUCGUUGCUCGGAAUCACUGGGCGUAAAGCGGACGCAGGCGGAACGUUAAGUUGGAUGUGAAAGCCCCGGGCUCAACCUGGGAACUGCAUUCAAAACUGGCGUUCUUGAGUUCAAGAGAGGGUGGUGGAAUUCCUGGUGUAGAGGUGAAAUUCGUUGAUAUCAGGAGGAACACCGGCGGCGAAGGCGGCCACCUGACUUGAUACUGACGCUCAUGUCCGAAAGCGUGGGGAGCAAACAGGAUUAGAUA
rnacentral:rRNA from 1 species